UGAACAAGUCCUUCUCAUUUUCUUUUUCCUCUUCUCUGCUCCGUCUUCCCGUUGUUGUUCCGCAGCAACACCAACACCAACACGGUUGCUUCUCCCCCAGCGGCGGAAGGAAUCUCGAGUCUCUCCUCCCCCGGCGCCGGGCGGGACCUGGACGGGUAAAUCGCGACGGCGCCCUAGAACCCCCGAGCAGCCGGGCGAUGGAGGACCGCGGCGGCGGGGGCGGGGGCGCGGGCGGGCGGCGGGUGGGGGACUACGUGCUGCUGCGCCCGAUCGGGUCGGGGGCCUACUCGCAGGUCUGGCUGGGGAAGCACGUCGCCCGGGGCACGGAGGUGGCCGUCAAGGAGAUCGCCAUGGACCGCCUCAGCGCCAAGCUCCGCGACAGCCUCCUCUCCGAGGUCGACAUCCUCCGCCGCAUCACGCACCCCAACAUCAUCGCGCUUCACGACUCCAUCAGGGAUGGUGGGAGGAUAUAUCUCAUAUUGGAGUAUUGUCGAGGUGGUGACUUGUACGCGUAUCUUCUACGGCAUAAAAGGGUUCCUGAAACUGUUGCUAAGCAUUUCAUUCGGCAGCUAGCAUGUGGUCUGCAGAAGCUUCGUGAAAGCAAUGUGGUUCAUCGGGAUCUUAAACCACAGAACAUUCUUCUUGUUUCAAAUAAUGGAACUUCCAUCUUGAAGAUUGCUGACUUCGGAUUUGCAAAAUUUUUGCAACCUUCUGGUCUAGCUGAAACACUUUGUGGUUCACCCCUUUACAUGGCUCCUGAAGUCAUGCAAGCACAGAAGUAUGAUGCAAAGGCAGAUCUUUGGAGCGUCGGUAUUAUUCUAUAUCAACUUGUUACUGGAUCUCCACCUUUUAACGGGGAUAGUCAAAUCCAGUUGAUGAAAAACAUAUUAAAGUCAGGUCAAUUACGAUUUCCAUCUGAUUGUGAGUUGAGCCAUGAUUGCAUUGACUUGUGCAGAAAGUUACUGCGAAUCAGUUCAGUGGAACGACUUACAGUUGAAGAGUUUGUGAAUCAUCCAUUUCUCUUUGAACAUGCUCCAGAGAAAAUCUUGAGUCGGACACCAUCAGACACAAGAGAUGGCUUUCCCUUCAUUAAAAGCAGUCCAACGAGGCUUUCGAACCAAAGUUCUCAAGAAGAUUGUAUGCCUUUUCCUUUAGAUCUGUCAACCGGACAGGAGGAGAGUCCUGUUCCUGAGAGUAAUGCCCCAAUGAAAUCUUAUGGGUUUGCUACUAGUAAAAAGUUGGAUAAAACUUCAGGCCAGAGUCCGUCGAAGCAUACAGGUCUGUUGUCCAGAUACAUUAUGGGCAACAAUUAUGCACCUAGCAGUCAACGUCUGGACCAUCCUGGUCAAAGGACCAAAGAAAGCAAGAUUGGUGAAGGACGUGGUGCUAAAGGUGUUCAUCCAGAAGAUUCCCCUAUCAUUGAUUCAUUAGAGUUUGUAGAUCAGGAAUAUGUCUUUGUGUCUGGACAUGCGGAAGGAUCCUCUUCUUCAACAAGUGCCUCUCUACAGCGCAAUUUACCGGCUAAAUAUGAGAAUCCCUCUGUUUCGCCACCGAACUUAGCUGCUCUUAGUGCACCAGUGCCAAUAAAUGGCACAGCAAUAAACAGGCAACAGUCUGCUGGAACUGGUAGCUUGGACAGUCAUUGUUCUCCAAUAUCUGGUACUUCACAUGGAUCUGCUUACAUGAGUGAUGGCUUGGAUCAACCACCAUCUGAUUAUCUGACCAGGAUUAGAUUAUUGGGGCAGUAUGCUUCUACCAUAGUGGAGUUGGUCAAAGAAGAGAUAAAAGGUGGCAGGCACUUAGAGGCAUUCUCGAUCCAGCUAAUUAUUCUUGCGACCUGGAAGCAAGCAAUUCACAUAUGCAAUUCCUAUGCGGCUUCAGCUGCCAGAGAGAGUUCCUCACAUGAUAUCACUAUGAAGGGGCUUGAUACUGACGCUCCCCAUUUGCUUGCAAACUCUCAAAUGGCUGAUGAAGAAUGCACACAGAUUGAGAGGCAGUUUCUCACUGAAGUUGAACAUGCUGAAGAACUUGCAAGCACUGUAGGGCAGAUACCUGAUGCUACAGCGAUGCCCGACGCGGUUGAAUUAAUAUUUCAAUAUGCACUAGAAUAUGGAAGGCAUGGUGGUGUUGUCGAGAUGAUGGGGAAAGCAGCAGUGGCCAUGUCGCGGUAUACAAAGGCAAUAUGCUUGCUGCGUUUUCUCCUGAUCGAGGCACCAUCGCUCGCCCUCAACCCGCCUUUGUCCCUGACUAGAUCUGACCGACACCGACUGCGCUCAUACAUUGAAGCCCUCAACGCAAGGCUCAGCCAGUUGUAAUGCCCGAGUCACUGACCGCUGCCGGUGGGCCUUCUUGGGGGCUGACUUGUACAAUAUUCUUUCAUUUGUACAUAUAUUUGUUGGCCCAAACGAGGGCGUGUAAGAUAGCCACGCUAGAGAUUGUGAGAUUAGCGAGUGUAGCGGAAAUCCAGUGUAAUUGCCCAAACUACUAUCGUAACGUGAGGUGUGUGUGCGUGGCUGCGUGUGUUCUCAACUUGCGCAUGCUUUAUUCUGUACCAAUGAAGGCUGCAGCCAUGGUCAUGAUGUAAACAGACUGCUUACUUGUUAUUUAUUUCUUGGGCUGUUACACU
rnacentral:rRNA from 1 species